rnacentral:rRNA from 2 species
GCAGUCGAACGAGUUCUGAUUAUUGAAAGGUGCUUGCAUCUUGAUUUAAUUUUGAACGAGUGGCGGACGGGUGAGUAACACGUGGGUAACCUGCCCUUAAGUGGGGGAUAACAUUUGGAAACAGAUGCUAAUACCGCAUAAAUCCAAGAACCGCAUGGUUCUUGGCUGAAAGAUGGCGUAAGCUAUCGCUUUUGGAUGGACCCGCGGCGUAUUAGCUAGUUGGUGAGGUAACGGCUCACCAAGGCAAUGAUACGUAGCCGAACUGAGAGGUUGAUCGGCCACAUUGGGACUGAGACACGGCCCAAACUCCUACGGGAGGCAGCAGUAGGGAAUCUUCCACAAUGGACGCAAGUCUGAUGGAGCAACGCCGCGUGAGUGAAGAAGGCUUUCGGGUCGUAAAACUCUGUUGUUGGAGAAGAAUGGUCGGCAGAGUAACUGUUGUCGGCGUGACGGUAUCCAACCAGAAAGCCACGGCUAACUACGUGCCAGCAGCCGCGGUAAUACGUAGGUGGCAAGCGUUAUCCGGAUUUAU